rnacentral:lncRNA from 1 species
UAAAAUUCCAAUAAAAGGAAGCUAUUGUGCUCCAACUAUAUGUUUGGAUAAGUGUAAGAAGCAACAUGGAACUGUUGGUAGUUGUGCGGAAGAAAAAGGAUUUUGUAACUGCGCUUGUAAGUAAGGGUUCUCACUAAGUGUUAUGAAUCUAGUAAUGUCCAACCAAAGUUUUAUAUUAUUUCUUUUAACAAUAAGUCUAAAUGUUUGUUUUUGAUUUGUGGAUCUAUUUAUAAUAAAUAAUAAUAUGAAUGUUAAAUAAAUACAAAUGUGUAAAACAAGAGUGGACUAUUAAUAAAAUAUAUGAUCACAUUAUUGUUAGAAGUAACCAAUAUUACGUGUAAAAUCAAAAGCUUAAGAAGAGUUAAAAAGAUAGAGAUGAAAUCACAACCAAUAUUUAAAUGUGAGAUAAUCAACUAACACGUAAUUUUGUACACAUUGUAAAAAAAAAGCAAGAGUUGAUUAUCAAACAAAAAAGUGUUAGAAAGAGCAACAGAUCAUGCAAGGGCAGUCUAGGUUUGAAUUGGCUUGACAGAUGGGAUGCAGACAUGCCAUAGGAAAGUCCUACAAACUCAUCAGACAAUGCAAAGAAAAUUGAUAGCAUUGUUUCUGAACAUGACAAAGCUCUGGUCAUGAAGAAAAAUUUCAGAACCAGAGUUUUUGGUAGACCUCCUCCAAUGUCAUCAUCAGCUAUGAGUUUUGAGACUUCAUCCACAUCUCAGUCUCCAUUUCCAUUCUCAUGAAGUUUCCUUUAGAGAAGAGGUUAUUACAGAAAGCCAAGUUACAUGAACAUAACACAAUCUAUCAAAGGUAAGAAGAGACGAUCAACCAGUAUUCUUCAUCUUCUUGUUCCAAAAUCACUGUUUGAAAAGAAACAGUCAAUGUCUUACAACAAAGAUGUGAAUGUAAAGUGUUGUGCAUGUUCGGAUCCAUCUUGCAUCCAGUGGAGUGAUAUAUAUCCACAUGCUCAAGUAACAAGGAGAAAUAUGUGGGCAAAGAAGCAAAAGUAAACAUUGUUUCAUUAAAUCAUUAAAGCAUUUCAACACCUUGAGGGUUCUAAAACACACACAAAAUACUGAUUUAUAGAUAUAUAAGCAACUUCUAUGUAUGUUCUUUUACAUACGAGUUAGUAUGAAAACAGCUGCAAUGUUGUUGUUUGACCACAUUUAUUAGUUAAUAGUUAACUUCUGAUGCUUUUAAGAUAAUAUGUUCUUCCCAACUCUUGUCAAUAUGAAACCAAGAGCAAAGUUUCAUCUUUAGACAUGAAAGACCUAUUAAAUGACCAAAUAACAUAGUUUAGACGAAAGCUUCCUAAUAAAAUUUAUUCUCAUUAUCUAAAUCUAAAACUGAAUUCAAUUCAUCUAUCUAAUUAUUAUAUAGUUUUCAUUUUUUUGUUAUUUUAUUGAAUUAAGUAAAAAAAUUAAUUAUAAACGUACUAAUUUUUUAAUAUAAUCUUAUAAAUUAUGUUACAUGUAGGACAUCCACCUAAUAAACUAUUAAUUUAAAUAGUAAUGUUUGAAAAGUAUUUUAUUGACAUUAUUUUAAAUAAAUUCAUAAUUCUAAAAAUAGCAAUAACUUUUUGAGAACAUCAGAUUUAUGUACACACAUAGGACACAUACCUUUUUAUUUACUUAAAGGAAAAUGAACGAGUCUAAAGCUUCCACAUGUUAUAUGAGCAAAACAUGGAUUUUUCUAAAUUAGAUUCGUUUAAAUCAGAACAUAUUAAUGUGAGUUUCUUAAAUUAGAUUUUUAAUAUGUAUAUAUACGUAAGAAUACUUCUUAUGUUUAAAAAAAAAAAAUAGAAUACUUUAUCUCUUUCCUAAAUUUUUAAGCCAAUAUCAAUCCAUUUCUAUAAUCCAAGAUGAAGAAAUCCCUUCAACUCUCGUUUACGUUCUUAAUUAUCUCCAUCAUUCUCUCACAAGGUUUGUAUUUACAUCUUAAUAUAUUGCAUAUAGUAAUUCCAUAAUAAAUUGAUUAUACUAAAAUUUGACUUUUAAAAUAUUGUAAACCCUCAUAUAAUAAAUUUUAUUUACUAUAUAAAACAUAGCAUUAAAUUAUCUCUUUGUGUAAAAUUCAUAAAUUUGCAGAAGGCUAGAAAAUAUAGAGAGUAUGGUCAGAAAUGUUUGCAUUAAAAUUGAAAGGAUCAACCAUGAAGUAUUUAACUGUUUUUUAUACUUUAUGCCAUUUAUAAUUUUUCAAAUGUAUGAGUUUAUAUAUGAUGAAGAACUAUUAUGAUAAAAUAAUAUUAAAAAAUUUCAUUUUUAUCAUCUAUUUAUGAACAUUUUGUCCUGUACAUACAAAUGAUUUGACCAACAUUUUUCAUAAUAUGGAUGAACUAUAGUUCUUACGUAAAUUUAUUUGAUAUUUUUAAUUAAAUUUAUAUAUUUUUAUAGGUAAUAUGUUAUGCUUUUCCAAUACAUACAGUAGUUGUUUUUAAAAUAUCAAAAUUUUAUACGUAAUGUUUAUUAAUAUGCACACAAUUCUUAAAACCAUAUUUUUCACAAAAUAAAAAAUAAUGGGUGACAAAACGAUAUGCUCAUUUUUUUUAUUUACUGCCAAAAUAUAUUUCUUUUUUUUACUUAUAACGUUUAAAAUGAAAUGUUAUUAAACAUUUUUUGCUGAUAAAUAAAUUUUCUAUUUCAUAAAAUCUAUAUAUAUUUUCUAACAAUUAAAAUUUAAAAUUUUAAUAUCUUACAGGAAUGAUGGCAGAUGCGCAGAAAAAGAAUUGUCCUCAUAAAAUUCCAAUAAAAGGAAGCUAUUGUGCUCCAACUAUAUGUUUGGAUAAGUGUAAGAAGCAACAUGGAACUGUUGGUAGUUGUGCGGAAGAAAAAGGAUUUUGUAACUGCGCUUGUAAAUAAGGGUUCUCACUAAGUGUUAUGAAUCUAGUAAUGUCCAACCAAAAUUUUAUAUUAUUUCUUUUAACAAUAAGUCUAAAUGUUUGUUUUUGAUUUGUGGAUCUAUUUAUAAUAAAUAAUAAUAUGAAUGUUAAAUAAAUACAAAUGUGUAAAACAAGAGUGGACUAUUAAUAAAAUAUAUGAUCACAUUAUUGUUA